rnacentral:rRNA from 1 species
UACGGAGGGUGCAAGCGUUAUCCGGAUUUACUGGGUUUAAAGGGUGUGUAGGCGGACUAUUAAGUCAGUGGUGAAAUCCCGAGGCUCAACCUCGGAACUGCCUUUGAUACUAUUAGUCUUGAAUGUUGUUGAGGUGGGCGGAACGGGUCAUGUAGCGGUGAAAUGCAUAGAUAUGACCCGGAACACCGAUUGCGAAGGCAGCCCGCUAAGCAACUAUUGACGCUGAGGCACGAAAGCGUGGGGAUCAAACAGGA